UCCGAGGGUGGUAAUAAAAGAUGGCUGCACGGCUCUCCCCGGGAAACUGAACGGGAGCCAAACCAUCAUGUGGUGAACAAAUGCUGUGAUCGCUCAACUGCAGAGCUGCUGCUGCACCGUAUUAAAAAGGUGACAGCCUCUCCUCUGACCCUUGAACCAUGGAAAUGGGCAGCCACCAGCCCACCCACUCAGAAAGCCCCAAUGCUCUGUCACCAGCAGAGGCCCAACACCCACUCCGACG
rnacentral:lncRNA from 1 species